AUGGGGUGCAGCAGGCGAGAAAACUUUGCAAUGUGCGAAAGCACGACAAGGUUAAUCCGAGUGUUUUCUGCUAAAGAAAUCUUUUGUUAGUUCUAAAACCACUAUCGAAUAAGGGGUGGGCAAGUUCUGGUGUCAGCCGCCGCGGUAAAACCAGCACCUCAAGUGGUCAGGAUGAUUAUUGGGCCUAAAGCAUCCGUAGCCGGCUAUGUUAGUUUUCGGUUAAAUCCAUGUGCUCAACACACGGGCUGUCGAAAAUACUGCAUAGCUAGGGAGUGGGAGAGGUAGACGGUACUCGGUAGGAAGGGGUAAAAUCCUUUGAUCUAUCGAUGACCACCAGUGGCGAAGGCGGUCUACCAGAACACGUCCGACGGUGAGGGAUGAAAGCUGGGGGAGCAAACCGGAUUAGAUACCCGGGUAGUCCCAGCCGUAAACGAUGCAGACUCGGUGAUGCCCUGGCUUGUGGCCAGUGCAGUGCCGCAGGGAAGCCGUUAAGUUUGCCGCCUGGGAAGUACGUACGCAAGUAUGAAACUUAAAGGAAUUGGCGGGGGAGCAC
rnacentral:rRNA from 1 species